GGUAACGAACAGGGUAGUUUAGAAAUUAUCUAACAGAACUACUGUUCUAGAUACUGUGCAGUAACUGUUAUGUUGUUAAUAUGUCCAUCGAAACCUGUGUAGUAAGCCAGGGGUUCUUGUGCAAGAACACAAACACAAACGAUCAUCCACUAACAGACCAAAUAAAGCUUAUUGAUUUCUCCUCCUUGUGUCUUACACAAUGCGUGUUCCACAUGGUGCUAUAUAUAGGCAAUAGGAGGCUUAUCUCAAUGGAACAGGCCACGAAAUCCGGGUGCAAUCUGUCAAAGCUCCACAAACCAGCGCAGGUGCAUUUCAAAGUGUGCACAGGCCUGAUGAGAUCUCGAGCAGAGUGGCAGUGCCCAGCUGUGAGCCACAAGCCAGAAAGCGGCCGUUAUCCUGCACGCGCAUGCUGCACAGAGCCUCGUCACACACCUGUCAUAAGCAGUACAAACUUCAUCACUUGGUAGACAUAUACAGUCAUUAAGAAGUCCCAUACAUCUAAAGUGCCGUCCAUUUUGACCGUGAAGAAGACUGAAGGUCUAACAGGGCUCCAGCAUCCAUCUGAUAGGUUGCAUAUCAUGGGCAGUGGUGGCUCAACGGUUCCUGACCAGAAGGUGCCACUGUUGGGCCCUUGAGCAAGGCCCUUAACCCUCGCUGCUCCAGGGGCGCUGUAUCAUGGCUGACCUGCGCUCUGACCCCAGCUUCCUAACAAGCUGGGAUAUGCGAAGAAAAGAAUUUCACUGUGCUGUAAUGUAUAUGUGACAAAAUAAAUGUUUCUUCUUCUAUCCAUUACUCAAAUAUCAAUGUUACUGUUUUUUUUCAUGGAGACAGAGAAAACAAGGAAGUAUGUAGCCUGGAUACCAAAUAUAGCAGUGUGAUGUUAAACAUUUCAUGAUCAUACCUUGUCUUUGGUACAUCUUCACUGAUAAGAUUAAAUUAUAAAAUCCAUACCAGUGGAUUACUAUUAAAGCAGACUCCAGGAGGCAGUUUUAAGUGGCUUCACUAGUCUGUGUAGU